AGCUAAAUAUUAAACGACUUUAGUAUAGGUAAGUAGAGUAGAGGAUUUAAGCUGAAACACAAACUCGGAGAAAAGGGUUGAAGAGCGACAAAGAAAAUGAGCGGUGAAGCGGCGAAAUCAGGAAAUGGAGGCGGAGGAUUUAGGGCGAAAAUGCAUUAUUAUUUAUACAGUGGUGAGAAAAGGCAUGUUUUUACAGGCAUCGCCAUCGUCGGAGUUAUUUUUGGCGUCCCCUGGUACCUUAUGACUCGCGGAUCAAAGCAACAAUCUCAUCAAGAUUACAUGGAAAAGGCUGAUAAAGCUAGGAGUGAGAGACUUUCAACUGGUUCGUCCACAGCAGGAUGAAGAAAAUUUUAAUCCAUUUAUGCUGUCUUUUGCUGCAUCACGUACCAUGAACUAGGUGUUUGGGGAACCAGUUUUUUGGUUAAGGUUUAUCUUGUACUUUCAAAAAUAAAUAGAAAAAGUAUAGCCACAGAGGAUGUUUCUUAGUAUUCUGAAGCGGAAUAUGUCUUACAUAUCGAAGUAACUAAGUUUCUGAAACUCCCCCUUCCCUGUGAA